UACGGAGGGUGCAAGCGUUACUCGGAAUCACUGGGCGUAAAGGGUGUGUAGGCGGAUUAGUAAGUCUUGUGUGAAAUCCUACGGCUUAACCGUAGAACUGCAUGAGAAACUGUUAAUCUAGAGUGUGAAAGAGGCAGGUGGAAUUAGUGGUGUAGGGGUAAAAUCCGUAGAUAUCACUAGGAAUACCGAUGGCGAAGGCGACCUGCUGGAGCAUAACUGACGCUGAGACACGAAAGCAUGGGGAGCAAACAGGAUUAGAAACCCUAGUAGUCC
rnacentral:rRNA from 1 species